GCGUGGGAAUAUACCUAGUAGUAUGGAACAACAGUUGGAAACGACUGCUAAUACCAUAUACGCCCUCCGGGGGAAAGAUUUAUCGCUAUUAGAUUAGCCCGCGUGACAUUAGCUAGUUGGUGAGGUAACGGCUCACCAAGGCGACGAUGUCUAGCUGGUUUGAGAGGAUGAUCAGCCACACUGGAACUGAGACACGGUCCAGACUCCUACGGGAGGCAGCAGUGGGGAAUAUUGGACAAUGGGCGAAAGCCUGAUCCAGCCAUACCGCGUGUGUGAUGAAGGCCUUAGGGUUGUAAAGCA
rnacentral:rRNA from 1 species